CGCCCCCUUGUGGUCGGUGUACAGGUGGUGCAUGGCUGUCGUCAGCUCGUGUCGUGAGAUGUUGGGUUAAGUCCCGCAACGAGCGCAACCCUUGUCCCGUGUUGCCAGCAGGCCCUUGUGGUGCUGGGGACUCACGGGAGACCGCCGGGGUCAACUCGGAGGAAGGUGGGGACGACGUCAAGUCAUCAUGCCCCUUAUGUCUUGGGCUGCACACGUGCUACAAUGGCCGGUACAAUGAGCUGCGAUACCGUGAGGUGGAGCGAAUCUCAAAAAGCCGGUCUCAG
rnacentral:rRNA from 1 species